ACUGCGAAGCAGGCGGUCUUGGUUCGAACCCCCGUGCUGCCAGUUUGCUGUGUUUAAGUCAAUGUAUUUAACUGUUUGCUUUUUCAAUGGAACACACAUUUUUUCUACUUUCCUGUGAUAUAUUUUUUUUUUCCCAAUUAUUGCGUCAUCACCGUCAACCUAUUUAAGUCGGGCCAAAUGCGACACUCGUUCUCUUUUGCCAGCGACCCGUCACCGGCGUUUCCACAAGAUCGUCCAAAACUUUGACAAGGGUGCUAACAUCUUGCUAGCAUGCUAGCUAAAACCUUUGAGCUUUCGGAGGCAUUUAACGUCUCCUGCGAGCUUAAACUACACCAAAACGCAUUUAUCUGGGGUAUAUGCUGAUAAAUGAAUGCACACAGUAAGUAAACUAAACAAUAACGGGGAAUUUACGACAGUUUAAUUUAUAAUUUAGUACAUGCACUAAUGACGUGAAUGUACUUUGAAUUAUUGGCACUUUUUAUAAUUAAAGUUUUGGCUCAAACUUUUCCAACAUUUGGACAAAAGUGCCGUUUUGCAGGAGGUAAGUACACAAAUUCACAAUUCAACUGAAUGAAGUAUAAUUAUAUUAAAGUGUUUUUUUUUUUUUGUGCACAUCUUGAAAUUGAGUCUAAAAUGGCUGACUUUAAUUUUUUAUUUUAAAUGAAACAGAAUUAUUCAUCCGUUUCUCCUUUCUGUUCAUAGGUUUGAAUCUUCAACCGAAUGGCCAAAUUGAGUGAAUUCCUGUUUCUCUACACCGCAUAUCCUUUAUUAAACAGAAUACAUCAAGUAAUUGUCUUUUGGAUUAAUUCUCAUUUCUGAUUACAGGUUCAAAUCUUCAACUAAAUGGCUGCCUUUUGGGGCAGGCCUCUUGAGACUUUUGUGGGUCUACUGAUAAACCCCUCGCUCCAUUGUCACGUUGCGAAGUCAAACUGGCUCGUGGGGCUGAAUUGGGAAACGUCGAACGCUAACAGUGUUGUCGUGUCUUUCAGGCCGUCGCUGACGAGGCGUCCGGCUGCUCCCUGCUCUCCUCACUGGUGAGACAAACUUUCAUACAUGUACAAAAACAAAAGUGACUCAUUUCUUUCAGCACGAGCUGACCAGGCAGCCUCCAGCGAUGUCAUCACAGUUCAGGAAGAAUCUGAUGGACUGAAGGAGGUUCCCCCAAAGUUGCACUCUGAGCUGCGCUGCAGCCAGAUCCUUCAAGUUCUUUACCUUCUCGCUCCUGGACAGUAGCAUGUUCUUGCUGCUCACGUCCACCAGGUGGUGCCGAAGAAUUCCUGGAGAACCUGAUCAUGGAUCAACUGGUGAAGUCGAUCUCUAAGCUUGGGACCUGUUGAAAAGUCAAUGAAUUUUGUUUGUUGUUCCAGGUGGUGGAAACAUGGCGUCACAAUCAACAUGUUGAGCGGUGACAUUGCGCUACAAAUAAACACAGCAAAUUUAAGUUUGACGCGCCCUCACCUGCUUUUUCUUUUCGACUCCACAUGCAGGUCGGCUUCUAGUCCAAGUGCCAUCGGGGACUCGGCCCCCAAGAUCCUGGACAAAGAGAAGAGUUCCAAAUGAAUGUGCAGAAGGGCUCCCGGAGAAGUCUCUGCGCCACCAGUCCACUCUGAAGGCUUCAGUCGUUUGAUAUGAAGACGGUUCUUGUUGCAGUCGUGGUGUUAAAGCUCAAGUGUGGUGGAAACAUGGCAUCAUGAUCAACUUCUUGUCCAGUGUGUUGAGGUCGGCUUCCAGUCCAAGUGCCGUUGGGGACUCGGCCCCCAAGAUCCUGGACAAAGAGAAGAGUUCCUGAAUGUGCAGAAGAUCUCCUGGAGAAGUCUUGCGCCACCAGUCCACUCAGAAGGCCUGAGUCGUUUGAAUCGAAGACUGUUCUUGUUCAAGCAGAAGGUUCCAGUCUACCUGAGAUGACUUUCCAGCGCUGUCCUUUCUUGAUGCGUUUUGGCUGCAGUCACGACAGCCUCUUGUUUGAAGUCAUUGGGAGCUGAGGAACAAGAUGGCUUUGCACUCGGAGAUGCGCUGCAGCCAGGACCCUCAAGUUCUUUACCUUCUUGGUCCUGGACACUUGCAUGUUCUUCCUGCGCACGUCCACCAGGUGGCGCUGAAGGAUCCCUGGAGAACCUGAUCUUGUGAAGUGGUGGAAACAUGGCAUCAUGGUCAACUUUCUGUCCAACAUGUUGAGAGGUCUGCUUCCAGUCCAAGUGCCGUCGGGGACUCGGCCCCCAAGAUCCUGGACAAAGAGAAGAGUUCCUGAAUGUGCAGAAGAUCUCCUGGAGAAGUCUUGCGCCACCAGUCCACUCAGAAGGCCUGAGUCGUUUGAAUCGAAGACUGUUCUUGUUCAAGCAGAAGGUUCCAGUCUACCUGAGAUGACUUUCCAGCGCUGUCCUUUCUUGAUGAGUUUUGGCUGCAGUCACGACAGCCUCUUGUUUGAAGUCAUUGGGAGCUGAGGAACAAGAUGGCUUUGCACUCGGAGAUGCGCUGCAGCCAGGACCCUCAAGUUCUUUACCUUCUUGGUCCUGGACACUUGCAUGUUCUUCCUGCGCACGUCCACCAGGUGGCGCUGAAGGAUCCCUGGAGAACCUGAUCUUGUGAAGUGGUGGAAACAUGGCAUCAUGGUCAACUUUCUGUCCAACAUGUUGAGAGGUCAGCUUCCAGUCCAAGUGCCAUCGGGGACUCGGCCAGCAAGCUCCUCCACCUGCUGGGCAAAGAGACAAGUUCUACAUGAACGUGCAGAAGGUUUCCCGGAGAAGUCUCUGACCACCAGUCCACUCUGAAGGCUUCAGUCGUUUGAUACGAGGAUGGUUCUUGUUGCAGUAGUAGUGGUCACGCUAAAGGUGGUGGAAACAUGGCCUCAUGAUCAACUUCCUGUCCAGCAUGUUGAGUUGAAGUCGGGUUCCAGUCCAAGUGCCAUCGGGGGACUCGGCCACCAAGAUCCUCCACCUGCUGGGCAAAGAGAAGAGUUCCACAUGAAUGUGCAGAAGGUCUCCCGGAGAAGUCUCUGACCACCAGUCCACUCUGAAGGCUUCAGUCGUUUGAUACGAGGAUGGUUCUUGUUGCAGUAACUCUAAGCUUGGGACCUGUUGGAAAGACAGACUUAAUGACUUUUGUUUGUUGU